CCUACGGGAGGCAGCAGUGAGGAAUAUUGGUCAAUGGCCGUAAGGCUGAACCAGCCAAGUAGCGUGAGGGAAGACUGCCCUAUGGGUUGUAAACCUCUUUUAUGCGGGGAUAAAGGUGUCCACGUGUGGAUGUUUGCAGGUACCGCAUGAAUAAGGACCGGCUAAUUCCGUGCCAGCAGCCGCGGUAAUACGGAAGGUCCGGGCGUUAUCCGGAUUUAUUGGGUUUAAAGGGAGCGUAGGCCGGUCUUUAAGCGUGCCGGGAAAUUUUGUGGCUCAACCAUGAGAGUGCUGCGCGAACUGGAGACCUUGAGUGCGCGGGAGGCAGGCGGAAUUCGUGGUGUAGCGGUGAAAUGCUUAGAUAUCACGAAGAACCCCGAUUGCGAAGGCAGCCUGCCGCAGCGUUACUGACGCUGAAGCUCGAAAGCGCGGGUAUCGAACAGGAUUAGAUACCCGUGUAGUC
rnacentral:rRNA from 1 species